CUAGUCUCUCCGCCUGCGGAGCCGUGGGGUCCCGGCAGCCCGCAGGAGUGCUAAGUAAGGGUCCUUCAGGGCGGGAACCAGGUUCCAGGCAGGGACGCAGGCUACGUUCGAAUAAAAGUACCGAAGGUCAUAAGGCCCCAGUUCAGAUGGGACUUCCCCGCGUGACAGCACAGAGAUAACGGCCAGCCCUGGGCGAAGAUUUGGAACUUGAAGAUGAAUUUUUCUUCCUCAUCAAAGGAAUAUCUAAUACUGCCUUCAAAUGAAUAAAAUUGAGUUUAUUCUA
rnacentral:lncRNA from 1 species